rnacentral:rRNA from 1 species
UACAGAGGUCUCAAGCGUUGUUCGGAUUCAUUGGGCGUAAAGGGUGCGUAGGCGGUGCGGCAAGUCGGGAGUGAAAUCUCUGGGCUUAACCCAGAGGCUGCUUCCGAAACUGCUGUGCUUGAGUGUGGGAGAGGCGCGUGGAAUUGCAGGUGUAGCGGUGAAAUGCGUAGAUAUCUGCAGGAACACCCGUGGCGAAAGCGGCGCGCUGGACCACAACUGACGCUGAAUGACGAAAGCUAGGGGAGCAAACAGG